rnacentral:sRNA from 1 species
AAGAGAAGAUAGAUAUGGGAAGAAGAAGAAGAAAAAAAGAAGCAAAAUUUUCAGUUCCAAUGAGAAGAAAAGGUAAAAGAAAAGGAACAAAAGCAAAGGCGCUAA